UACAGGGGGGGGCAAGCGUUGUUCGGAAUUACUGGGCGUAAAGGGCUCGUAGGUGGCCAACUAAGUCAGACGUGAAAUCCCCUCAGCUUAACUGGGGAACUGCGUCUGAUACUGGAUGGCUUGAGUUUGGGAGAGGGAUGCGGAAUUCCAGGUGUAGCGGUGAAAAUGCGUAGAUAUCUGGAGGAACACCGGUGGCGAAGGCGGCAUCCUGGACCGGCAUUGACGCUGAACAGCGAAAAGCCAGGGGGAGCAAACGGGG
rnacentral:rRNA from 1 species